AGUUUCAACUGCUCCUGCAGGAAGAGAGCCACUUGUAGCAGGUCCGACUGGGCUUUUCUCCUGAACAGUCCCAAUGAAUUCAGAUGUCUGCGCAAUGUUGACGUCCUCAUUCAAGGUCCUCUCAACUGUCAAUCAACUGUCACUAAGCUGUUGGACUCAUCCCCCAAAAACAGUCCCACGUACCCAGCCCCAAACCCCAUCUCUGCAAUGAUAAUAUGAUGAUAAUAAAUGCUAGUUCAAAGUG